rnacentral:misc_RNA from 1 species
UUUAUUUGUUAUAAAAAUUUUACAUUCAUAGACUAGUGUUUAUAAGUGAAGGCUCACAAUCCGAAGACUGCUCGCCAUAAUACAGAUGCACAAAGUUAGAAUUGAGAAGUUCGGGUUCCAAGUUAAAUUGGACACCCUUGUUUUCAAUAAUGAUCCUUCCGCAGGUUCACCUACGGAAA